CGUCCACUUGUUAUGAAAAACACAGUCAACUUGGGACACGAGUCCAGAAGCACAGCCUGCAGACUGCACAGAACCUCCUGCAGGAAGAGGUGGCCCGUGCCGAGGAGCGAUCUGAGAGCUUUACUUCUUUUUACAGUUGCGGAACAGACGAUCUCUAGGGUUCUUCCGUCUUUGGAAAAGCGCGUCGGCCUCACAUCUUGGUGACGUCCACGCCGUCGUGAA